GACGAACGCUGGCGGCGUGCUUAACACAUGCAAGUCGAACGGAAAGGCCCUGCUUUUGUGGGGUGCUCGAGUGGCGAACGGGUGAGUAACACGUGAGUAACCUGCCCUUGACUUUGGGAUAACUUCAGGAAACUGGGGCUAAUACCGGAUAGGAGCGCCUGCUGCAUGGGGGGGGUUGGAAAGUUUCGGCGGUUGGGGCUGGACUCGGGGCUUAUCAGCUUGUUGGUGGGGUAGUGGCUUACCAAGGCUUUGACGGGUAGCCGGCCUGGGAGGGUGACCGGCCACCUUGGGACUGAGAUACGGCCCAGACUCCUACGGGAGGCAGCAGUCGGGAAUAUUGCCCAAUGGGCGGAAGCCUGAUGAAGCAACGCCGCGUGCGGGAUGACGGCCUUCGGGUUGUAAACCGCUUUCGCCUGUGACGAAGCGUGAGUGACGGUAAUGGGUAAAGAAGCACCGGCUAACUACGUG
rnacentral:rRNA from 1 species